AGAAUGAACGCUGGCGGCGUGCCUAACACAUGCAAGUCGAGCGCGGGAUCGGCUUCGGUCGAUUUCCGAGCGGCGAACGGGUGAGUAACACGUGGAUAACCUGCCCAUGAGCGGGGGAUAACGUUGGGGAAACCCGGGCUAAUACCCCAUACGUCCGGAGGGUUUCGGCUCUCCGAGGAAAGAUGGCCUCUGCUUGCAUGCCAUCACUCGUGGAUGGGUCCGCGUCUGAUUAGCUAGUUGGCGGGUAAUGGCCCACAAGGCGACGAUCAGUA
rnacentral:rRNA from 1 species